CAAAUUUUCAAUAGCUUCUGCCCACUUGGGAUUAUGAGCCUUCACUUGAUCUUGAAAUAGAUCUCGAGGUAGAGAAAAACCACAAUUUGUACAGGCAACAAUGUAGACAGUCCCAUGCAAUUCAAGAGGAUUGCUUCCAGCUCGGUGAUGCAGCCUGUCCACAUUCUGUGUAAUCAUAAAACUUAUAUGGCCUGCUUUCUCAAGAGAUGAUAGAGCUAUAUGACCUGUACUAGGUUGAGCAGCAGUGAAACGUCGCCAGCCAGCAUAGCUCCGUGCCCAAUAACGCCUUCGAGCCUUGAUUGAUCGUAGAAACUCCUGAUGGGUAAUUGGUUUGAAACCCGUACUAUAAGCUCCGUUUGGGCUUCUGUAAUCCGGAAUUCCACUCUCUGUGCUCAUGCCAGCUCCCGUCAAUACAACAAGCUUGGUACUUCUAUCAAAGAAUUCAUACAAACUAUCCACAUCUUCCGUGCUAGGGGGGUUCGAAUAAGGAACCAUCUUCUUGUGACUCAAAAAAUUUGAAGGCUCUUUAUCUUGACAGCACGAAUAUCAUUUCCAAAGAUCUCAGCAGACUGUCAAGAUAAAGAGCC
rnacentral:misc_RNA from 1 species